rnacentral:rRNA from 1 species
UAGGGAAUCUUCCACAAUGGACGCAAGUCUGAUGGAGCAACGCCGCGUGAGUGAAGAAGGUUUUCGGACCGUAAAGCUCUGUUGUUGGCGAAGAAGGAUAGAGGUAGUAACUGGCCUUUAUUUGACGGUAAUCAACCAGAAAGUCACGGCUAACUACGUGCCAGCAGCCGCGGUAAUACGUAGGUGGCAAGCGUUGUCCGGAUUUAUUGGGCGUAAAGCGAGCGCAGGCGGAAGAAUAAGUCUGAUGUGAAAGCCCUCGGCUUAACCGAGGAAUUGCAUCGGAAACUGUUUU